AGCGAACACUGGCGGCAGGCUUAACACAUGCAAGUCGAACGGGCGUAGCAAUACGUCAGUGGCAGACGGGUGAGUAACGCGUGGGAACGUACCUUUUGGUUCGGAACAACACAGGGAAACUUGUGCUAAUACCGGAUAAGCCCUUACGGGGAAAGAUUUAUCGCCGAAAGAUCGGCCCGCGUCUGAUUAGCUAGUUGGUGAGGUAACGGCUCACCAAGGCGACGAUCAGUAGCUGGUCUGAGAGGAUGAUCAGCCACAUUGGGACUGAGACACGGCCCAAACUCCUACGGGAGGCAGCAGUGGGGAAUAUUGGACAAUGGGGGCAACCCUGAUCCAGCCAUGCCGCGUGCAGGAUGAAGGCCUUCGGGCUGUAAACUGCUUUGUUACGGAACGAAAGAACUCUGGUUAAUACCUGGGGUCCGAUGACGGUACCGUAAGAAUAAGCACCGGCUAACUACGUG
rnacentral:rRNA from 1 species